UGUGGAGGGGGUCGGCUGGAAUCCAUUAACCCUCUGAGGACAGAGAGAUUCCCCUGAAGUCCCCUUCCCCUGUGAUACCUCAGGUCGGCUGGAAGGUGGAUGGAGGUUGAGAGGGAGAGAGAAAGGUGGCCAGAGUCUGAGCCACUCCACAACAGUCGAACACACAGGAUCAACCUGCUCUUGUAAACUCUCUGAGGGCAGGGUCUGCCUACUCUGAUCCAUGAUUCCUGGAAGCUGCCCGACCAGCAUGUGCGUCCGAUGUGCCUGAGAAGCCUCAAGAGGCAGCCAUGCACCAGUGAUCCUCAUUGCCUCCAAUUGACUACACCCAACCGGUUGAGAGUCAGAGGGUUGGAAUGUGAUCCAGAGACCAAUCUUGGAUCCAGGGCAGGACAGAGCAAGAAGAUUGGGACCAAUGUGGAUGAGAACAAUGGAAUGUAUCUAGCACAACAUCUCUCUGAGGUACCUCAGGCAGGCCACCUUGGACCACAGCCACCCCAGAAGGACCACAGCAAAAGAUAUCUCAGAGCCAAAUGGAGGCCCCCUAGAGAGGAUGCUUGCUCCAUGAACGGACACUUUAGUUUUGAUACCCCCACUGUCACAUCACCUUGCCUAGCACAGCUGACCCAGAGCACUCUGCAGCUCCCAGCCUUGUUCCUUGGCUCUCUCCCUGCGAGGAGCUUGUCUCACUUUCUUCCUGACACCUUCUGAAUAAUGACACCAGAC
rnacentral:lncRNA from 1 species